AGUGAACGCUGGCGGUAGGCCUAACACAUGCAAGUCGAGCGGCAGCACAGUAAGAGCUUGCUCUUACGGGUGGCGAGUGGCGGACGGGUGAGGAAUACAUCGGAAUCUACUUUUUCGUGGGGGAUAACGUAGGGAAACUUACGCUAAUACCGCAUACGACCUACGGGUGAAAGCAGGGGAUCUUCGGACCUUGCGCGAUUGAAUGAGCCGAUGUCGGAUUAGCUAGUUGGCGGGGUAAAGGCCCACCAAGGCGACGAUCCGUAGCUGGUCUGAGAGGAUGAUCAGCCACACUGGAACUGAGACACGGUCCAGACUCCUACGGGAGGCAGCAGUGGGGAAUAUUGGACAAUGGGUGCAAGCCUGAUCCAGCCAUACCGCGUGGGUGAAGAAGGCCUUCGGGUUGUAAAGCCCUUUUGUUGGGAAAGAAAAGCAGCAGGUUAAUACCCCGCUGUUCUGACGGUACCCAAAGAAUAAGCACCGGCUAACUUCGUG
rnacentral:rRNA from 1 species